AAACGCCGGAUACGUGGACCGUACGUCCGGUGUUGUGGGAGGACGGCGGGGGCAACCCCGCCUCCUACCCGAU
rnacentral:misc_RNA from 1 species